rnacentral:rRNA from 1 species
GAACGUACGCUGGCGGCACGCCUAACACAUGCAAGUCGAACGAAGUAGCAAUACUUAGUGGCAGACGGGUGAGUAACAUGUAGGUAUCUGCCCUUUGGCCUGGAAUAACACGAGGAAACUUGUGCUAAUACCGGAUAAGUCUUUACGGAGAAAGCUUUAUGCACCAUUGGAUGAGCCUGCACUUGAUUAGUUUGUUGGUGGGGUAAUGGCCUACCAAGACUGUGAUCAAUAGCUGAUUUGAGAGGAUGAUCAGCCACAUUGGGACUGAGACACGGCCCAAACUCCUACGGGAGGCAGCAGUGGGGAAUCUUGCACAAUGGAGGAAACUCUGAUGCAGCGAUGCCGCGUGAGUGAAGAAGGCCCUUGGGUUGUAAAGCUCUUUCGUCGGGGAAGAAAAUGACUGUACCCGAAUAAGAAGGUCCGGCUAACUUCGUGCCAGCAGCCGCGGUAAUACGAAGGGACCUAGCGUAGUUCGGAAUUACUGGGCUUAAAGAGUUCGUAGGUGGUUGAAAAAGUUAGUGGUGAAAUCCCAGAGCUUAACUCUGGAACUGCCAUUAAAACUUUUCAGCUAGAGUAUGAUAGAGGAAAGCAGAAUUUCUAGUGUAGAGGUGAAAUUCGUAGAUAUUAGAAAGAAUACCAAUUGCGAAGGCAGCUUUCUGGAUCAUUACUGACACUGAGGAACGAAAGCAUGGGUAGCGAAGAGGAUUAGAUACCCUCGUAGUCCAUGCCGUAAACGAUGUGUGUUAGACGUUGGAAAUUUAUUUUCAGUGUCGCAGCGAAAGCGAUAAACACACCGCCUGGGGAGUACGACCGCAAGGUUAAAACUCAAAUGAAUUGACGGGGACCCGCACAAGUAGUGGAGCAUGUGGUUUAAUUCGAAGAUACGCGCAGAACCUUACCAACACUUGACAUGUUCGUCGCGACUCUAAGAGAUUAGAGUUUUCGGUUCGGCCGGACGAAACACAGGUGCUGCAUGGCUGUCGUCAGCUCGUGUCGUGAGAUGUUGGGUUAAGUCCCGCAACGAGCGCAACCCUCACUUUUAGUUGCCAUCAUUAAGUUGGGCACUCUGAAAGAACUGCCAGUGAUAAGCUGGAGGAAGGUGGGGAUGACGUCAAGUCCUCAUGGCCCUUACGUGUUGGGCUACACACGUGCUACAAUGGUAUCUACAACAGGAAGCAAGACUGCGAAGUUAAGCAAAUCCCUAAAAGAUACCUCAGUUCGGAUUGCACUCUGCAACUCGAGUGCAUGAAGCUGGAAUUACUAGUAAUCGUGGAUCAGCGUGCCACGGUGAAUGCGUUCCCGGGUCUUGUACUCACCGCCC